rnacentral:rRNA from 1 species
CCUACGGGAGGCAGCAGUGGGGAAUUUUGGACAAUGGGCGCAAGCCUGAUCCAGCUAUUCCGCGUGUGGGAUGACGGCCCUCGGGUUGUAAACCACUUUAGUAGAGAACGAAAAGGAGCAAUCGAAUAAAUAUCCCUGCUGACGGUACCUUAAGAGUAAGCACUGGCUAACUACGUGCCAGCAGCCGCGGUAAUACGUAGGGUGCGAGCGUUAACCGGAAUUAAUGGGCGUAAAGGGUGUGUAGGCGGCUGAGUAAGACAGAUGUGAAAUCCCCGGGCUUAACCUGGGAACCGCUUAUGUGACUGGUAAGCUAGAGUGAGUCAGAGGUAAGUGGAAUUCCACGUGUAGCAGUGAAAUGCGUAGAUAUGUGGAAGAACACCGAUGGCGAAGGCAGCCUCCUGGGUCGCAACUGACGCUCAUAGACGAAAGCGUGGGGAGCAAACAGGAUUAGAUACCCGUGUAGUC